ACGCUGGCGGCGUGCCUAAUACAUGCAAGUAGAACGCUGAAGAGAGGAGCUUGCUCUUCUUGGAUGAGUUGCGAACGGGUGAGUAACGCGUAGGUAACCUGCCUUGUAGCGGGGGAUAACUAUUGGAAACGAUAGCUAAUACCGCAUAACAAUGGAUGACACAUGUCAUUUAUUUGAAAGGGGCAAUUGCUCCACUACAAGAUGGACCUGCGUUGUAUUAGCUAGUAGGUGAGGUAAUGGCUCACCUAGGCGACGAUACAUAGCCGACCUGAGAGGGUGAUCGGCCACACUGGGACUGAGACACGGCCCAGACUCCUACGGGAGGCAGCAGUAGGGAAUCUUCGGCAAUGGGGGCAACCCUGACCGAGCAACGCCGCGUGAGUGAAGAAGGUUUUCGGAUCGUAAAGCUCUGUUGUAAGUCAAGAACGGGUGUGAGAGUGGAAAGUUCACACUGUGACGGUAGCUUACCAGAAAGGGACGGCUAACUACGUGCCAGCAGCCGCGGUAAUACGUAGGUCCCGAGCGUUGUCCGGAUUUAUUGGGCGUAAAGCGAGCGCAGGCGGUUUGAUAAGUCUGAAGUUAAAGGCUGUGGCUCAACCAUAGUUCGCUUUGGAAACUGUCAAACUUGAGUGCAGAAGGGGAGAGUGGAAUUCCAUGUGUAGCGGUGAAAUGCGUAGAUAUAUGGAGGAACACCGGUGGCGAAAGCGGCUCUCUGGUCUGUAACUGACGCUGAGGCUCGAAAGCGUGGGGAGCGAACAGGAUUAGAUACCCUGGUAGUCCACGCCGUAAACGAUGAGUGCUAGGUGUUGGAUCCUUUCCGGGAUUCAGUGCCGCAGCUAACGCAUUAAGCACUCCGCCUGGGGAGUACGACCGCAAGGUUGAAACUCAAAGGAAUUGACGGGGGCCCGCACAAGCGGUGGAGCAUGUGGUUUAAUUCGAAGCAACGCGAAGAACCUUACCAGGUCUUGACAUCCCGAUGCUAUUUCUAGAGAUAGAAAGUUACUUCGGUACAUCGGUGACAGGUGGUGCAUGGUUGUCGUCAGCUCGUGUCGUGAGAUGUUGGGUUAAGUCCCGCAACGAGCGCAACCCCUAUUGUUAGUUGCCAUCAUUCAGUUGGGCACUCUAGCGAGACUGCCGGUAAUAAACCGGAGGAAGGUGGGGAUGACGUCAAAUCAUCAUGCCCCUUAUGACCUGGGCUACACACGUGCUACAAUGGUUGGUACAACGAGUUGCGAGUCGGUGACGGCGAGCUAAUCUCUUAAAGCCAAUCUCAGUUCGGAUUGUAGGCUGCAACUCGCCUACAUGAAGUCGGAAUCGCUAGUAAUCGCGGAUCAGCACGCCGCGGUGAAUACGUUCCCGGGCCUUGUACACACCGCCCGUCACACCACGAGAGUUUGUAACACCCGAAGUCGGUGAGGUAACCUUUUGGAGCCAGCCGCCUAAGGUGGGACAGAUGAUUGGGGU
rnacentral:rRNA from 1 species